rnacentral:lncRNA from 1 species
GAAGCUUCCCACUUUCUCUAAAAAGAUUUCUCCUUAAACUCAAGUGGAACCAUGUCAUAUAUGAUUUGGCUUUCCUAUUUGGCUUUCCUUGCUCUGCAAGUAAAUCAAAUCCACCUCCAUUUCAUAUUUCAAAUCUGCACUAUAAAUAGGGAAGCAUCGAACCCUAAUGUUUCAUCAAGUAUCUCAAGCUUCCUCUCAUUUCUAGUUUUCUCUCAGGCGAAAGAAGGGUGAGAAAUGGUGGUCUCAGUCAUACUAGAUUGCGUUGUUCCAUCAUCUUCCUCAUCCCGGGUCGUCGACUAUGCUGGCGGCUGGCCUUCCAUGGAGAAACCUAAAAGCAAGUCAUCAAAAUCUUCAAGUGCUCCAAUCCUGGUCUUUCACUUCCCUGUUAACUCCUACCGCUCUCGCCUGUAGUGGUUGAGUUAAUUGCUUGAGGAGUGAGAUGGAGUUUUGUUUUCAUUUACAGUUUGAUGAGUGAUUUGCAAUAACUUCAUACAAGAAUAUUGUAUGCAAUGAAAGAGCUAUUUUUGAUUGAUUUGUUUUUUCUUAAGAUUUCUCCUAUAUCUUGUUCUCAGAUCCCUUUACCUUGUUUACCUCCUUUCCUGAAGUUCAGAUUUUCUUCAUCCAACACACUGAUAAGUGGCUCUGAGCCUGCCUAAUGACCUCGAAGAUCAAUGGGUUCUUCAUUUACUUUUCUUUUCGUCUAUGAGCAAUGAACUAGAGAUCAGUGAAUGAAAGAAAAAAAGGAAAUGUCAUAGAAAGUAUGCAACAUUGCAGAAGAAAAGAAGAUGAAGCUGUAAAUAUAUACGUAUAUUGACCAGUUGAUGACAAUUUGAUCCAUUGAUGAUUUAAUUUAAACCUUACCAGAGCGAUCAAUUGAACUGCUAUUAACUAUUUGAUUGAGAAAAACCAAGGGCAUGUUUCCCAAUGUGGAUCCUAUCAGUUAGGUUAGUUGGUCAUUGCGUGGUAAUAAAUAUCAGUAACGAAAUGUGAGACAUUACAGAGAAUUGCUAAAGAUUAGUGAAAAAUCUUUAAUUCUUGGUGACUAAGAAAAACUUAGAUUAAUGUUGCUAGAAGUAUUGGAGGUCAUAGAAGUAAGUCAAAGUUCUCAAGGAACUCAUGAGGAUGACUUCCUCCGAGUAGGGUCAAAGCAGCCACAAGGGUAGGAAGCAGGAGGCCAGGAACCAUCCAAGCAAUACUAUAAAUUGGGAACAUGGGCAUAUAUCAUUUGGCUUUUCUUGCUAUAUAUACAAGAAAAUUAACCACCCCAAUCCCACUAUAAACACAGAAUCAUCUUCACUCAAAUUUCAUCACCAACCUUCUGGAUCAUAAUUUUCUCGGACAAGGAAGAGCAGAAACCAAGUCAAUUACAAUGGUGUUUUCAGCCAUCUUGAGUUGUUUUUGGCUUAGUGAAGAGGUGAAAUCUAACAGCAAAUCAUCAAAACCUUCACAAGCUCCAAUACUGGUUUCUUACUUCCCUGUCAGCCUUCCUCUCUCGCUUGUAGUACUUUAAUUACGAAGGAGAGAUCACCUGCUGAAUCAUAAAGGCAGAAAUGGUUUAUUCAUCUGUUAUAUUGAUCAACUCAUGGGGUUUUUUAAUGUAUAAAUUCAUUAAUUCACGAUUGAUUUGUAAAUUAAUUUGAUUGAAGCACACAUAUUAUAUAAGAUUAUUGUUUCUUGAUGAUAAUUAAGCUAAUCAUCAUAUAUACCUUUCCUAAUUAUAGAAAAACCAGGGCUUGUUUGGAAACGGUUGUGAAAAAUAAUUUUUGAGAACAAGUUUUACAAAUUGUUUUAUAAUAUUUUGUAGAAAAAAAAGUUUAUUUAAAAACUUGAAAUGUUUUUAAUAUUUUCAAAAUAAUUUUUAUAAUUAUUUUUUAAAAUAACUCUAAAAAAUAUAAGUGAAAACAAUUAAAAACUGUUUUAUAAAAACACCAUAUUUUCUAAUUUGUCAAACAUAUUUUCUAGUUUUUUGUUUCUGAAAAACAGAAAAUUAUUCUCCAAAAGAAUUGCUAAACAAACUCUAGACUACUUCAAUCCUCAUUUGUAAUUAUCUUGAUUAAUAAUAUUGUUGUGUUCCUUCGGCUAUUACCAAUUGGCAACACUUGACCCAACAUUUGAUAUUAGAGUUCUAAUUAAUAUAUAAUUAAAAUUUUCUAAUUAUGUGUAAUUUAAUGAUGGGAUAUUAUUGAACAGCAUCAUAAAAAAAAUUUAAUAUUAACUAGAUUUAUCACUUAAAAUAUUGAUAACAUUAUUUUUUUUUUAUAUAUAUUUCAUCUAUGUCAUUUACCUUGAUGCCGUGAUGAAUACUUCUACUAUUACUUAAGUUGAUAAAGUCAAAAAAUAUUGUUAUGUACUGAGAGUGACUUUCUUCCUCCAUGGUCAAAGCUGGCACAUGCCAUAGGAAGUGGAAGCUCACGAGCAACAUGGGUACUUAUCAUUUGACUAAGAUAAAAUUAAUUAGGAUAAAUAUUAAUAAAAUUAAAAAAAACAGGUAAAUAUUUUAAUUUGAUAAUUAAAAAAUAAAUUAAUUUUAUCGAAUAAUAAAAAUCAAAUAAUAAGUUUUAAGUUUACAAUUUAAGAAUAAUUUAAUUUAAAAUUAAUUAAGUUAUUAAAUAUAAGUAUUAAAUUUUACCAAAAUGUCAUUUUCACCUCGUCUUGAUGAAGCCAUUAAGUAUUUAACAUUAGUCAUUGAAUUCUUUUUGGAUCAUUUUGAAACCCAAUGAUGUUGGAGAAAUGUUGAUGAUUUAUUGUUUGGUAUGUUUUAAGGUUAAAUAUUUAGGGUUCAAGGUUUAAAAUUACUAUUUAGGGUUUCAUUAUCUUUUAAUUCAACAACACUUGUAUUAUCAAAUAUUUGAAUACUUAAAGCUUCUAUUAUUCAUCAGUCUUUGAAAAUGAUGUGUAUUUAUUGUAGAGGCCACAACAAAAGCAGUAAUACUGAAUACUUCCUACUAUCCUGACCAGUUCUUAAAGUCCAAAUGAAAUGAAAAUCUUGUGACACUGAAAGUGACUUUCUUCCGAAAUAGUCAGAGCAGCCACAACUGAUGGAAAUUCAAAGGAUCCAACUCACAAUUUUCACAAGAAACAUGGUCAGUUGGACUUCAAUUGCUUUAUAUUCAAGAUAUUAAGUGAUUUUAGCACCGAGUAAAUAUCGGAUUGCCCUCAAGUAGGAUGUCUUAUUUUUCCAAAAUAUAAAUAAAUCCCCUUAAUUAGGAAGAAAGCUUGAGAAUCACAUCUAAUGAUAAGCAUUAUCCUAACAUAUUUAUUUAGUCUUCUCAAGGAGACUUAGUUAAUAUAUAUGUUUUUCUUCAUUGGUUUGGUCCCACCCUCUAUUUGUUUGUUCCCUAGAGCUGGUUAGACUAGUCAAAAUUUGAAAGGUGGUGUAAUUUGACACGACUUUUCUUCAAAGACAUGGACACCACAGCACCAAAGUUUAGUUGUUGGGUCUUUUUCUAUAGUCGGAUUAAGCCACUUGCUGCCACGAGUCUCACAGGAAGGUCCAGGGAAUUGACCCAUCUCAUAUAUUUAUCAUUUAUCUUUCCUUGCUAUGCAAGUAAAUCAACCCUACUUCCAUUUCAAAUCUGCUGUAUAAAUAAAGAAGCAUCUUAGCCUAAUAUUUCAUCAAAUAUCAGACACUUUCUCUCAUUUCUAGUUUUCUCUGCAGGCAAAUUAAGAAGGUUAAAAAUGGUGUUCUCGGCCAUACUAAGUUGCUUUGUUCCAUCUUCUUCCUCGACCCGAGUCUUCAAUGAUGCUGGUGGGUCUAGUUUGAAGGAACCUAAGAGCAAGUCAUCGAAAUCUUCAUCAAGAGCUCCGAUCCCGGUCUCUUACUUCCCUGUUAACUCCUACCUCUCUCGCUUGUAGUGAUUAAUUUGAUCGCAAGUUGGAGUUAGACUUUGAAGAGUACCAAUGGAUUAUUGAUUCAGUUUAUGUAUUAUAUGAUGGGGUUCCUCAUCAUGCAGUUGCUUGAGGAGUGAUGAUGGAGUUUGUUUUAAUGUACAGUUUGAUGAUUAAUUUGCAAUAAUUAGAUUCAAGAAUAUUGUUAAUUUCCUCCAACUGCAUGCAAUGAAACAACUCUUUUUAAUAUAAAGUUGGGUAUGAUGAUACCAUGAAAUUACCUGCAACCAAAUAAGACAUUAACCCCAACUGAACUUCCUUGUUGUUUCUCAAUUUGAUCAGUAAAGGAGGAAGUCUUAAAAAAGCCAAUGGAAAAUGACCCCACCAUUUUAGAGAAACACUAGGUGAAAUUUGAUCCACAGAAUCUUCUAUACAUAUUUUAAAGUUGUGAGUGUCUCUUAAACCUAUAAUGGACAAUAUCUAUGUGAGAGAUGACAAGUUAUUAUAAAUAAUAUUAGAGUUAAUUCUUUAUCCGUGAAAGUUUGUUUGACCUUGUAAAUGGUUUUUAUCUUUUUGUUAUCAUAAUUCUAUGCAUUACAAUGAGGACGUUGCGUCUUUCUGAAGGCCACGCUAUAUAUGUAUUGAUUUUUCUUCAUUUUAUAAGCAUUCUGAAGGCCACGCUAUAUAUGUAUUGAUUUUUCUUCAUUUUAUAAGCAUUUUUUAAAGUCAUGAGUGUUUAUGAGGCACAAAACGGAUCACUACAAAUAUUUAUAUAGAUUUGCAUUUAAAUCCAAUAAAAUAUUAAAGAAAAGACUAAAACGGAACUUCGGUAUUGUAACUACUUAUGACCUAGUAGUAAACCUGAUUUUAAUAUAUCAUAUUAGAUUAUUUAUUUUUUAAAUACAUAAAUUGUUAGGUAAUAGAUCAACGAUAUAUACUAGACCGUUAACAUUAUCUAUAUAUUUAUCUUUGAAUUGAGCAGCAACAGCGAUUGACAUGCUUGUUGGUGGGACCUAAUUCAACAAUGAAUUGUAUUAUCACAUAUUUUAAUACUUAAAGUUUCUAUAAUUAAUUAGUCUUUGAAAAUGAUACAUAUUUAUUGUAGAGGCUACAACAAAAGCCUCUACAAUUAUUUUUAAGAGAAAUUAUUUAAGGGAUUUUUUGUAAUAAGAACAUGAAAUAAUAAUUUAUUUUUUUUCAUAUGUUAUAUUCUAACAAAAAAAAGUCCUUUAUUUUUUCAAAAAAGCGUCUAUUUCAUAAAUUAAUAUUAGUGAUUUUCUAGAUUUUUAAAAAUUUACUAAGCACAAUAUUAAAAACUUUUGUAUUCUAGGGAAGUCAUGAGACUUGGUCAAGAUAUGGAAUAUGGGAUGACGUUAAGCCUGAGAAAGAAAAUAUAAUUUCCCGGAAUAAGUAAAAGUAGGAUGUCUAAGGAAGAAAGCAUGAGAAUCACAUUGGAUGAUUAGUUUUAUCCUAUCAUAUUUAUUUAAUCUUAUUCCAAAGGAGACUUUAACUAAUAUGUUUUAAUUUUCUUCAUUGUUUUGGUCCCACCCUCUAUUUGUUUGUUACCUAGACCUUCCCAUUUUUGCUAGAAGGUUUUCUUCUUCUGGGUCAGACUAAUCAAAAUUUCAAAAGUUUAGUUGUUGGGUCUUUUUCUAUAGUCAGAUCAAGGUAGCAGCAGCUGCCACGAUUGUCACAGGAAGCUCAAGGGAAUCAACCAUCUCAUAUAUUUAUCGUUUAGCUUUCCUUGAUAUGCAAGUAAACCAACCCUACUACCAUUUCAGAUCUGCAUUAUAAAUAGAGAAGCAUAUGUUAGCCUAAUAUUUCAUCAAAUAUCACACACUUCCUCUCUUUUCUAGUUUUCUCUGCAGGCAAAUCAAGAAGGGUUAAAAAUGGUGUUCUCAGCCAUACUAAGUUGCUUUGUUCCAUCAUCUUCCUCGUCCCGAGUCUACAAUGAUGCUGGUGGGUCUAGUGUGAAGGGCCCUAAGAGCAAGUCAUCGAAAUCUUCAUCAAGAGCUCCGAUUCCGGUCUCUUACUUCCCCGUUAACUCCUACAUCUCUCGCAUGUAGUGAUUAAUUAAUUUCACUGCAAGGUGGAGUUAGAAUUUGAAGAGUAUGAAUGGAUCAUUGAUUCAGUCUAGGUAUCAUAUGAUGGGGUUCUUCAUCAUGCAGUCGCUCAAGGAGUGAUGACGGAGUUGGUUUUCAUGUACAGUUUGAUGAUUGAUUUGCAAUAAGUUGAUCGAAGAAUACUGUAUUAGAUCUUCAUCUUGUUAAUUUCCUCCAACUGCAUGCAAUAAACAGUUCUUUUUAAUAGAAAGUUGGGUACGAUGAUACCAUGAAAUUACCUGCAACCAAAUAAGACAUCAGCCCCUACUAUGAAAAUUGAGAAACAACAAAAGAGUUCACUUGGGGUUUCCAUUGGAAAGAAUCGGUACUUGAAAUAUUGGCAAUCAGUGAUUACCAUAUGUAUAACUGCUAAGUAAACCCUAGAAUCAGUUAGGGUUUAUCAUCAUCGAAGACAAAGGUUGUUCGAAUCAUAUAUUAAGCAAAAACUACUUACAUUAUACAGAUGAUGAUCAGUAAGGGAAGAAGUCUUAAAAAAGCCAAAGGAAACUGAACCUACGAUUUUGGAGAAAUUAGGGUGUAAUUUGAUCCACAAGGUGAUGACUGAUGACUAGAUAUGCAUGGUGGGAUUUGCCCCAGCGGUCCAUGAUGAUAGAAGGCUAUUAUCCUUUUACACAAGCACUAAAAGAAAAAGGAUAAAUUAAGUCGCCUUGCUUUGUCCUUUCAUCCGCCCAAAAUUCUUGCAAUAUGCACCUCAAAUCAAACCUAAGAGUAUCAAUCACUCUCUUUCUCUCCAUCCAUUAAAAAGUAUUAAUUUCAAACUUGUGAUAUCUCACAUGUUGGAAGUAGAUUUGUAUAGGUUUUUUAAUUUUGUAGAUGUACUUUAAAGUUGUGAGUGUCUAUUAGACUCACAAGGAAUAAUAUCUAAAUGAGAAAUAGCAAGUCAUUACAAAUGAUAUUAAAGUUGAUCAUCGAUCUUAAUAUGAGAGUUUAUUUGACCCUGCAAGAGAUCUUUUUAUUUCUAUGAUCUUAUGAGAUACAACGAGAACGUUAUGCACUUAUAUGAGGGUGUAUUAUAUAUGUAAUGAUUCUUCUUCAUCUUAUAAAUAACUUUUAAAGUUGUGAGUGCGUAUGAGACCCAAAACGGAUCAGUACAAAUAUUUAUAUAAACUUAUAUUUAAAUCCAUUAAAAUAUUAUUUGUUAUAUUAAAAUAAAUUGUUGUUUUUUAAAUGAAUUGGAAAUAUUUUGAAGUGUUUGUUCAUAAAGAAUUUUGAUAAAUAAUUGAAGAUAUGAAGAUUAAUUGUAGGGGACUCGUGACACGUAUUCAACAUAUCAAAUAUAAUUACUGAAUAAACAGCCAAAAAAAUAAAUGUAAAAAAUAAAAAAAAUACCAGGGCACCAGCUGAGAGAUGUGGAAGGGUCUUUAUCGGCCAAGAAGAGGAUGAGAUUGGCCUUGUUCUUCGGCGCUUCUGAUCUGAACUUCUCCAGCACGCCGUCGAACGUCGACACAGUGGCGUCCACCAUUUUCAGCGGCGUAUUCGCUUUUUCUCAGGGGUAUUUUGGGAAAUCUAGACAAUAUCAUUGCUUGACAACAAUGGCAUUCGUCUGUGCUCCUUUUACAGGUUUUAAGCUAAAAUUUGCCCACCCACAGGUGGUGAAAUUCCUGAUAUGCCCUUCAUAUUGGAGUCACCAAAAUCUCCAUGACAUAGUAUAUCACAUUUAUGUCAAAUUUGGAGCCAAUGAUAUAUUUUGUGGUUUUAAAGUUCAUUAUAUACUUAGAAAGGCUUAGAAUACAAAUUUGAUAAGGUCAAACAAUGAUAUUUUUCUAAAAAUUUUUGUCCUACGAGGUGGGCACACAUACCUAGAAAAGCCUAAAUCCUUGACAUUAUGCAAUCUUACUUUACAAGAUGGUAGCAAAUAAUUAAUUAUUUUUCAAACACCGUAUCCCCUUAAAUAUUAUAGUUGGUUCAAUAAGUGGUAGAGUCAGGAUUUCAAUUAGGGGACUAACUCUUAAGACAUAUGUAAAUUUUGCUGAUCAUAAAAGAUGUGGGCUUUGACCCAAUAACCCAUCCUUGGCAUUUUCUAAGGGGGGGCAUAAGUUGGUUUGGGGUGGGAAGUGGAGAUGGCUGGUUUCACCCUUGGGUUCAGUCAUUGUAUUGAUUGAUCCAAUGAAGAAUAAUAUUUAGUAUUGACAUUUGCCUUCAUAAAUGAGCUUAAUAGUAUUAUCUUGGUGAGUGCAAUCCAAUAAUUAACUUGAUAUGUGUUUUUCAUAAAAUUUUAUGUAUCUUUUUAUAUUUGCCCUUUACUACCAAAUGUCAUUGUUCAUUUUGAAUUUUUUUCUUCUAUAAUGAAUAAAUACUUUUAAUUUAAUAUAAAAUUAUAAUUAAUCAUAUCAUUUUUUAGAACAUGUAGUAAUAGUAAAUAUGUGUUAACGUCUUUGAAUCCGGGACUCGCUUUCUAUGAUAAAAAGAAUAUACCAUUAACAUUAUGAAAUGAUUUUUGAAACUCCCACCAAUCAACAUUAAUUAGUUAGUCCUUUUUAGUUAGAGAGUUAAUUUUACUAAGACCCCUAGGGUGUAAAUACGUACACAUAACCAUUAUUAAUUUUAAAUUUUGUCACUAAGUGUCUUUGUAAAUUUAUUUUGUUUAUACAAUUUAUUUUUUAAAGAGAUUUUAAGGAAGUGUAAUUAAUAAUUUUUUGAAAAAUAAGUUUUAUUCUUAAAUUUUUUUUAUAUAUGAAAUACAUUUAUAGAAGUGCUAAUUGAUAGAAUUUGAAACUAAUGAUGGUUUAAUGUAUUUAUACUGAACCUUGGGAUGUGAAUGAAACUAGCCCUUAGCGAAAUAGGGUUGAGGAGUUAAACAUGCAUGGGUUGAUUGUAUUAAGGAUGAAAAGUACUAUUAAGUUCUUGGAGACCAAGCAAAACUUGGUUAAUACUCCUAGAAUCAUCAGGUGGUCGGACUAGAAGUCAAAAGUUUUGGAGGAAUUGAAAACGACUUCCUCAAACUACAGACACAAGUGUGGGAAACAGGAAGGAAUUAAUUAACCAUCUAAGCUGGGGAGAUGGGGACACAACAUUUGAAUUUCCUUGCUAUACAAGAAAAUUAGUCCAACUUCACAGUAUAACACAUCAUCAUCUUCAUUCAAAUGUCAUCACUACUCACACUUCAGCUAGCUAGCUCUUGGCUUCUCAAACACUCACUUCCCUUAACUUCUGAAUAGAAAAAUUAAGGAGAAUUAAGGGUGAUUCAACAAUGGUGCUCUCAGCCAUUCUAAGUUGUUGUCUGCCAUCAUCAUCGUCGACUCUGCCUCGGGUGUCCGAUGAUGGUGGUGGGUCAAGAUGUGACAUUAGGCAAUCUUACCUUGCAAGAUUGUGGUUAGAUUGUAGAAUAAGCUAGCUAAUUUACUAUUUAUCAAACACUUUUUUCCCUAUAAAUUGAACUUUUUAAGUUAACUUAAGCCCCAUCUAAAGUUAUUAUAGCUACUAAUUAGCAAUCACAUCUCCCUUUCUAAUGGGAUUCUUAUCAACCAUUUUCAGGUGUUUGAUGUCUUGUUUUUCAAGCAAUGAAGCAAGAAAAUCUCCAGAGAAGCCUAAGAGAAAAUCAAAGUCAUCUAGGGCUCCCAUUGUGGUCUCUUCCUUCCCUGUCAACUCAAAUCUUUCUUGCUUAUAGCAUGCUGAAAUUUGAAAUGUAGUUGGUUCAAUCAUGGUAUGGACUGAUCUAUAAUUAAUGGCAAUGAAGCCAUGGUAUUGAUAGUUGCCUUUGCAAAUGAGCUUAAUGUUCUUAUAUAUCUUGGUGAGUAUAAUUCUAACUAUUUGAUCUGUCUUUUGAAUAUGAUUUAUGGUAUUUUACCCUACUGCAUGCCUUUGCUUUGGUUACCUCCUUGUGUGAACUGCCCAAUGGUCAUAAAGAUUAAUGAGUUUAAGCCUUGUUACGUUUACCCAUGCACAAAUUUGUAAUGUCAUUCACUUUGAAUUAAUUUCUUGGUGUAGACGUAUGAAACAAAAACUCUUUAUAUGAUACAAAAUUAUAGCUCUUAUCAUUUUUAAGACACGAUGAUGGAGGACGACAUCAUUCACUGCUUGAAGACCAAGCAAAACUUGGGGAAUACUCCUAGAAUUAUCAGGCGCCACACAAGUCAAAAAGUUAUGAAGGAAUAUUGAAAAUGGCUUCCUCAAUCUAGAGUCAAAGCAGCCACUAGUGUAGGAAACAGGAAGGAAUUUACCAUCUAAACAAUAUCACAAGCUGGGAAGAUGGGCACAUACCAUCUGGCUUUCCUUGCUAUGCAAGAAAAUGAGCCCAACUUCCAUUUCAAAUUAAACUUCCACUAUAAAUAUGUAGAAUCGUCUUCAUUCAAAGCUCAUUAAUACAAACUCACACUUCAGCUCUUGGCCUCUCAAACCACUUUGUUUAAUUUCUGAAAGCAGAAGGAGAAGGGUGAUUGAUCAACAAUGGUGUUCUCAGCCAUCAUAAGUUGUUUUCUGCCAUCAUCAUCGUCAUCUCGGGUGUCUGAUGAUGCUGGUGGGUCAGGCUCAAAGGUGCCUUCCAUGGGGAAAGACAAGAUGAGCAAAUCAAAUUCUUCAGGAGCUCCAAUAGUUCUUUCUUACUUUCCAUUGAACUCCUAUCUCUCUCGCUUGUAGUUGUACUACUAAUUGCAUUCUGAGGAAAGGGGAGUUGAAUUUGCAGAAGGUAUCAAUGGUUAAUUUCUUCAGCUCAAUGAUGUUAUGUGGAUCAGUUAAUUAAUGGGGCUUCUUGAUCAGUCAGUUCAGAGACCACACACCAUGGGGCAGUUGCUUAUGGGGUGGUGAUGUUGAAGGAAGAACAGCACUCAUGUACAUAUAGUUUGAUGAUUGAUUUGUAGUUUGAUUGAAGCAUAUCAUGUAAGAUCAUGGGUCCUUUAUUUUUAUUAGUAAUAUCCUGAUGAAUAAAAUUCAAGUGUAAUCCAAUUGUUUGAUUUGUGUUUUGGUAAGAGUUCUUAUUUCAUGUUAAUCCAUAUCCAAAUUCUUGUGCUUAACUUAAUAUAUUCAACAUAUUUUCAAUUAUAUCUUCGAAUUCAAUAAAAAAGACGAAGAAGAAGAGGAAAAUCCCUCAAAUUUGAAAUAAAAUACAACUUUAUUUUCAAAAUAAAUUCUCAAAACUAUUUUUAGUCCAAAAUUUAUUCUACCUAUGCUUUAAUUUGAAUUUUUUUUUUAAUUUUUCAAAAAUAGAAAAUCAUUUUAAAAAUUAAUUAUAACUUACCAUAAAGAACUGAUCUUCAAAUUUGAUCUAAUAUCAUGAUCCCUUUUUUGGUAUGAUCUCAAGUAUCUUGUUCUUAUCAUAUAUAAAAAAAAUGUUCUUAAAUUAAUACAAAAUGAUGAUAUGUCAUGUCACUUGAGAUACUUUCGAAAUGAUAGAAUAGAUAGAUUAGAAUUAGAAACCAGGAUCAUAGAAAUAAAAAAUUUAUUAUUAUGAAAAUCAAAGUCAACUUUUACAAGAAUCUUAUCCUUUUCUUACACAAUAUAUUAUGAUAGAUCUUCAAUAUUUUCACUUUUAUUCUUGCAUUCCAAACACUUCUAGAGAAUUUGCAUUCCAAAAUCAAAGCCAACAUUAGAGAACUUGUCACCUAGAAAGUUAGGUCUUUUUUAAUUCUCACAUUGAAGAAGCAUGGACCAUGUUUUUGUAUUUUAAUUAAAAUUGUUUCCAAUAAUUUUAUAUAGAUAUUAUCAGUCAUUCUGCUAGCUGGUCAUUGCAACCUCACAGCACAUGCCCACAUACUAAUAAAUAUCAGAAACUUCUUCCUAGCUAGGUAAUGUGGGGCAUGGCAAAUAAUUGAUAAAAAAUGAGAAGUCUUCAAUUCUUGGUGACCAAGAAAAACUUAGGUUAAAGCAACCACAGGAGUAGGAAGCAGAAGGCAACCAUCUGAUCAACAGUACUAUAAGUUGAGAACAUAGGCACACGUAUCAUUUGGUUUUUCUUGCUAUACAAGAAAAUCAUCCCAAUCCCAUUAUAAAUACAGAAUUAUCUUCACUCAAAUCUCAUCAUCAACCUUCUAUUUCAUAAUUUUUCAGACAUAGGAAGAGCAAAAACGAAAGAAGAAAAAAGACACGUAAAUCAUAACGGUAUUCUUUAUUAAUCUCAUCUUACACAUACAAACAUAUAUAUAUAAAGAAAAAUAAAAUUUUAACGUAAUUGAUAAUUGAUAUGAUUCCUAUGCUCACGGAAUACAUCAACACUCAAGAAUCUACUUCAUUUGACACGUAUAAGCAUAAAUAAAAAAAAACAAAAUUUUAAUAUAAUUGAUAAUUAAUAUGAUUCCUAUGUCCAUGGAAUGUUCCGAUACUUUAAGUUUGAAAUAUUAGGCAGGUACCAUAGUGUGGGGUUAUCCUAUUGUAUUUGCAUGCACCUCAAGACCCAAUACCUUGUGGCAUGACUUAGGUUAGAUAGUACAUUAUUUGGGAUAUCCAUGGUACAACCUAAUUACUUUGAUUUGUAGGAAUCUACAUAUAAUCUCAAUUGAUUUCAAACAAUUAAUUUGAUUUAGAAAAUUGAUGAGUUUAAUUACCAGGCACAUAAACUAUUUCUUCCACAAACAUAAUUGUGUCAUACAUCUUAUGGAUAAAUUACACUAGUGACUAUAAGACCAUGAUUAAAAUUUUUAUCCAAACAAUUAUAAAAAUUAUGGUUGAUAUUUAAACAAUUUUUUUUAUUAAUAAAAAAACUAUCCUAAAUGAGAUUUAAAGAAGGUAACAUCACUGAUUUGAUUGCCUCCGCUAUUGCAUUGUUACCUUACUUUUGUACUCAUCUAAGUCAAUUGCCCAACCAAAAUAAUGAUUUACUAUUCUUAAUGACCACACGACAUUCAUUAGUAGAUAAUGCGUCACACCUUCUUUGAAGAUGGGCAGGCUAAGGAAUAUUCUUAAACCAUAAGUAAUUUAAUUAUAGAAUAUUCAUUUAUAGAAACUCAGUCACACCAGUUAGCUAGGCAACAAAUCAUACAUUCUCAUUUGACUAUAAAUGAAAGUUAUAAUAGCUUCUAAACAUAUAUAUAUAUAUAUAUAUAUAUAUAUAUAUAUAUAUAUAUAUAUAUAUAUAUAUAUAAACAUAGUAAAGAUAUAGUUAUAAGUGAUGUUUGUUUUUUGGUUAAAUAGAAAAAGCCAAAUAUUUUGGUUUUUUCUAUUCAGUUAAAAGUAACUAAUUGACAUCAACCAACAUCAUUAAACUAAACUUAUUGAGAAUAAGUUCACUUUAAUUAUGUUGGUUAGUACCAAUAAGAUACUUUUAGCUGAAUAGAAAAAAUCAAAAUAUUUAGCUUUUUCUAUUCAGCCAAAAAAUAAAUACCAUUAUAGUGUUUUAAAUUCUUUAGUAGAUAACGAGGUAGGAUUAAAAAUAAUUAUUUUUCCCAUUCAAUUGAUUUGUGUUUGACAACUUUUUCUAAAUAUUUUUUUAUAUUAAAAAUAAGUGUAAUUUUGGUUUUUGUUUUUAUAAAAUUUAAUUUAAGAAAUAUUUACUUUUGACAUCAUGUUAUUUUCAAAUGUAAAUUCGAUCUGGGGUUUGUCAGCUUUAUUCAAUAUGGUUAAAAAUUACAUCUAAUUUUUGUAUAUUUUUCAAAUUGAGACUUUUAGUUCAUAUGAUAGUGAUUUUAGAAAAUCCUUAUAUUUUUUUUAAUAUUUAAUAUUUUUUAUCUUUUAAAUGUUAAAAAACUAAAAACACUUUCUAUAAUAUUAUCAAACACACUCAUAUCCAAUAUGUUUUUUUUUUCCACAUAUUUGAUCCACACUUCCAAUAAUUAUGGUCAAAGACACUCAUCGCUGAUAUGGUUUUUUAUGUACUUAUUUCAUCCUUUGUGUAUAUUUUUCGAAGUAUUAAAAAUACUUUCUAUAAUCACCGUUAAAUACACAUAUCCUAUAUGUUUUUUUUUUUAAAUAUUUGGUCACACUUCCUAUGACCACGGUUUAAGAGCCUCGUAUCCUAUAUGUUUUUUUUUACAAAUUUGGUCCCACCCUGUCUGUAUGUUCCCCGAAGCUUCCCACUUUCUCUAAAAAGAUUUAUUCUUAAACUCAAGGGGAACCAUGUCAUAUAUGAUUUGGCUUUCCUUGCUCUGCAAGUAAAUCAAAUCCACCUCCAUUUCUUAUUUCAAAUCUGCACUAUAAAUAGGGAAGCAUCGAACCCUAAUGUUUCAUCAAGUAUCUCACACUUCCUCUCAUUUCUAGUUUUCUCUCAGGAGAAAGAAGGGUGAAAAAUGGUGGUCUCAGCCAUACUAGAUUGCGUUGUUCCAUCAUCUUCCUCAUCCCAGGUCGUCGACUAUGCUGGUGGCUGGCCUUCCAUGGAGAAACCUAAGAGCAAGUCAUCAAAAUCUUCAAGGCUCCAAUCCUGGUCUUUCACUUCCCUGUUAACUCCUACCACUCUCGCCUGUAGUGGUUGAGUUAAUUGCUUGAGGAGUGAGAUGGAGUUUUGUUUUCAUUUACAGUUUGAUGAGUGAUUUGCAAUAACUUCAUACAAGAAUAUUGUAUGCAAUGAAAGAGCUAUUUUUGAUUGAAUGUUGGGUAUGUUUGAUGCCAUGAAAUUAAUUACCAGCAACCAAACAAGACAUGGAACCCUAGUUUGAAAAUUCAGAAACUAACAACAAAAGUUCAGUUGGGUAAUGAAUAGCAGUCAGUGAUGGCAUAUGGGUAAUAGUUAAUUAGAGUCACUAUUAAUUCAGGGUUUAGAGUUUAAAGUUUAUACUUAGUUGUUGGACACACAUAAAGAUCUAUAAAGAAUUCUUAAAAAAUCAUUUAAAAAUAAAUAAAACAAUAAGUUAUUUUAAUAUAAGAAAAAUUUUAAAAUGAUUAAUUUUUUUUAUAAUCAUUUUAAAAUUUAAAUAUUUUUAAUUUAUUUUUAAGCUUUUAAAAUGAGAAAAUAUCAAUUCUCGGAAAUUUUAAAACACUACAAAUAAUGUAAAUUGUUGGUGAUCGGAGAGCAAACUCCAACAUUAAAGACCUUUUCUCACUGAAGAUACUCUCUUUCCACACAAUGGUUGUUUUUUUUAACAGACUUGCCUAUUAAAAAAGGGUCAAACACCAUGUUGACAAAGGGGAGACUAAUGAUCUAAAAACUAAAAACAUUUUGUGCUGAAAAGCCCAGGAGAGGACUAAGCCAAAAAUUAAAUAUUUGGAAAGGGGAAAAUUUUAGGGGAUAUGUUGGAUAUCAAAUUUGUAAUCUUGGUAGUCAUUUGAAAUAUAUAAUGAAAUAUAAGUUGUUUGAUAUUUAUAGUUAUUUUCAUGAAUAAUGAUGGUCAUGAGGUCUUUUUGCGACGUCUAGGAAGCAAGCACGUGGAGUUAAAUAAGCAAAGUUGCAUGAGGCUUGGGGGUGCAAGCCUAUUUCGAUCAAUCCAAAGUUUGAGGCUGAUCGAGGGAAUUAGAGAUAUUCAAAUGAGUUCAAAUAUAUACAUAUUUUUAAAUUAUGUACUCAUUGAGGAUUAAUUUCAUACAUUUUCAAAAGAUUUGGAUGCCGUUUUCCUAGUUGAAAAUUUUGAAAUUUUUUUAAUGGAAAAUAAGAAAAAUGUUGAAAGAGCUUAUGUAACAUUUUUCCAAAAUACUACACUAGGAGGACACCACCUUAUAACUUGAUGUCAUUUUCCCAUUCCCUGGUGUCAUUUUGUGCUGAAGAUGAGCUAUGUACACCCCAAAAAAUGGCAAGGUCACUUUAUGCUCUACUACCAUUCCUCACUCCCUGCCACCAUUUCAUGCUAAAACUCCAAGACAAUAUGAGCCCACCAUUUUUGGACCUUUCGAGUUCACCAUUGGAUCUCUUAUAUUGUUUUUGAUACGUUAACGAGGUACUUAUGACACAUGGGAACACCUAUAUAAAGCCAUUUUGCAGUUAAUGAAGGGGGCGCCUUUGAGGAGAGCCUUUGGGCUACUAGCUUGGGGAGGAGACCAGCUUGUUCCAGCUUGCAUGCUUUAUUUGCUCGACGCUUUGCUCAUUUUAGUAAUUUGGUAAAGUUUUGAACUCACUGCUCUUGAUUAUACUUGAUUGUAACUACCAUUAAUAUUUGGUUUUGAAGUUGAAUUUGAAUGAUUGUAAUAGGUACUUUCUUAUGCUCUGAUUUUGUUCUUCACUUUGGUUAUAUUUUUGUGGCUUUUGAGUAGUAGUUUAGGUUGAGGAGAAGGGGGUUCUUAGGACCUCCAUUGUGUUUAUGAAAUGGACUCUUAAAUUCUAAGUGUUUGAUGAUACAGUCAGCAUGUGAGCUUUGUUUUUAAUUAGAAUAUCAAUAUUCCUUAAUAUUUGAAAAUUGAAGUUUGGGGGACCCUUAAGGGUAUCUUAAGUACUUAAUGGUUGAAAGUCAUUUUGACUUGAAAUGACUGUUAUUGAACCUCUAAUUAUUUGAUAACAAAUGGUAGUGGAAGCUUCAAUGUGAUAUCAUAUGGAGUUUCAAUUCACAAGUAUGAGACAUUGGGUUUGAUUAAAAUGUGCUUGUGUUGCAAAUCCUCUAACUAAGAAUACCUAUUGGUGACCUUAAUUGUGUCAAUUUCAUUAAGGGCUAUUUCAUGAAAACAAAGGAGUUCCAAGAGAUCUCCUAAUCCUUGACACUUUUUUAGCCUCCUGUUAAUAAUCUUUCCAAUUCCAUUGCACACCUAACAUCUUUUUCCUUUGGUUUGACUCUCUGACUCAUGGAGAUAUUAAAAUGGCAAUGUACUCCUUAUUGUUACAUACGCAUUACGAAGGAUGAAAAGUAUCCAAUUCUUGAAGACCAGGCAAAACUUGGUGAAUACUCCUAGAAGUAUCAGGUGGGUAACAUUAGAAGUCAAAAAGUUGUGAGAAACGGAAUUGAAAAUGACUUCCUCAAACUACGGUCAAAGCAGCCACAGGUACGUAGGAAACAGGAAGGAAUUUACCAUCUAAACAAAAUCACAAGCUGGGAAGAGGGGCAUGUACCAUCUGGCUUUCCUUGCUAUGCAAGCAAAUUAGCCCAACUUCCAUUAACUCCACUAUAAAUAAAGAACCAUCUUCAUUCAAAUCUCAUCACUACUUACACUUCAGGUAGCUCUUGGCCUCUCAAACCACUCACUUUCCUUGACUUCUGAUCAAAAGAAAAUAGGGAGAAUCAAGGGUGAUUCAACAAUGGUGUUCUCAGGCAUUUUAAGUUGUUUUCUGCUAUCAUCAUCAUCUUCAUCGCCUCGGGCGUCCGAUGAUGCUGGUGUGUUAAGCCCAAAGAAGCCUUCCACGGUGAAAGACAAGAGCAAAUCAAAAUCUUCGGGAGCUCCAAUUGUGGUGUCUUACUUCCCAGUGAACUCCAAUCUCUCUCGCUUGUAGUAGUACUAACUGAAUUGUAAGGAAAGAGGAGUUGAAUUCAAGAAGGGUACCAAUGGUGUUUAUUAAGUUCAAUGGUGUUAUGUGGAUCAGUUAAUGGGGUUUCUUGAUCAGCCAGUUGAGAAACCAGACCCUGGCGCAGUUGGUCAGGGAAGAAUAACACUGAAAAUAGUAAUAUCAGUUGUAUAUAUAGUUUGAUGAUUGGUUUUUAAUUUGAUUAAAGCAUGCAUAUGGUAUAAGAUCAUGGUUUCUUGAUUUGUUUUUUCUUAAGAUUUCUCCUAUAUCUUGUUCUCAGAUCCCUUUACCUUGUUUACCUCCUUUUCUGAAGUUCAGAUUUUCUUCAUCCAACACACUGAUAAGUGGCUCUGAGCCUGCCUAAUGACCUUGAAGAUCAAUGGGUUCUUCAUUUACUUUUCUUUUCGUCUAUGAGCAAUGAACUAGAGAUCAGUGAAUGAAAGAAAAAAAGGAAAUCUCAUAGAAAGUAUGCAACAUUGCUGAAGA